rnacentral:lncRNA from 1 species
CCUUAAGGAGAUCAUUCUGAUCUGGCAGCGGGAUGGGGAGGAUCAGACUCAGGAGAUGGAACUUGUGGAGACCAGGCCUGCAGGGGAUGGAACCUUCCAGAAGUGGGCAGCAUGGUGGUGCCUGCUGGAGAGGAGCAGAGAUACACAUGCCAUGAGCACCAUGAGGGGCUGCCUGAGCCCCUCACCCUGAGAUGGGAGCCACCUUCUCAGUCCACCAUCCCUGUCAUGGGAAUUGUUGUUGGCCUGGUUCUCCUUAUAGCUGUAGUCACUGGAGCUGUGGUGUCUGUUAUGAUGCAGAGGAGGAAUGCAGAUAGAAGAGGAGUUAUCUAGGCUCCAAGUAAGUAUUGGGGGAGAAUGUUGUCUCUGGAACUUUUGGGAUAGUGUGUAUAGGAGCCCAUGGGGGAACUCA